GUUUCAGUGACCCACUCUGUAAUAAAGAACCUGGAAAGGGAGGUUCCAAGAUGGCCAAAUAGGAAGAGCUCCAGUCUACAGCCCCCAGUGUGAGUGACACAGAAGAUGGGUGAUUUCUGCAUUUCCAACUGAGGAAAUUCUGCAAGUGGCAACGUGGGUCCAUUCCGUGUGUGUCACUAGAGCUGGCGCAAGGCCAUGGCCAUGGUGAGGCACUGUUUCCACUGGAACUAAUCUGAUACCUGCACCAGCUCUUGGAACUGCAAACUAUGGAUGGGGUAAAAGACUGCUCACCUCCCAUUUCUCAUCUCAUCUCACACACUCUGUUUGAUGAGGCUAUGGAGAAACAGGUCUUCUCAUACACUAAUGGUGGGAGUACAAACAAUUCAAGCCCUUUGCAGGACAAUUAGGCAAUACCUAUCAAAAUUAUACAUGAUUUUUCCUGCUGACCCAGCAAUUCCACUUCUGGGAAUAAAUUGACAGAUAUAGGUGCAUAUGUACAAAAUGAUGGAAAGCUCUCUGGUAUAUAUUAGUAAGUGAUAAAACAAGGUGUAAAAUAGUGUAUAUAUGGCUACUACCUUUUGUUUUAAAAAUGGGGGAAAAUGGCGGAGCUGGCGGUGAGCGGAGAUCGUGCCACUGCACUCCAACUUGGGCGACAGAGCGAGACUCUGUCUAAAAAAAAAAAAAAAAAAACAGGGUGGGGUGGGGGGGAAAUAAUAGUACAUAUUCAUAUUUACCUGUAUCUAUAUAUAUAAAACACACUAUCAAGUAUUCACAAGAAACUAAUACAAAUGAUCACCUUAUAGAUGGUAUGUAUUGGGGGAUACUGGGGUGAGCAGGGUAUAAGUGGGGCAAGACUUUUCAAUGUAAACUACUUUGAACUUUUAUUUUGAUUUUUGAAUAAUGUAAAUUAACUGUCAAAUAAUUAAAUUAAAAAUAACCAAUUUUUUAACAAAACA
rnacentral:antisense_RNA from 1 species